rnacentral:rRNA from 1 species
UACGGGGGGAGCAAGCGUUGUUCGGAUUUACUGGGCGUAAAGGGCGCGUAGGCGGCCUCCGCAAGUCAAUUGUGAAAUCUCCGGGCUUAACUCGGAAAGGUCAACUGAUACUGCGGGGCUAGAGUGCGGAAGGGGCAACUGGAAUUCUUGGUGUAGCGGUGAAAUGCGUAGAUAUGCGGAGGAACACCGAUGGCGAAGGCAAUCCCCUGGGCCUGCACUGACGCUCA